rnacentral:rRNA from 1 species
CUAUGCCUACGGGGCGCAGCAGCCGCGGUAAUACGUAGGGGGCAAGCGUUAUCCGGAAUUACUGGGUGUAAAGGGAGCGUAGACGGUAAUGCAAGUCUGGAGUGAAAGGCGGGGGCCCAACCCCCGGACUGCUCUGGAAACUGUGUAACUGGAGUGCAGGAGAGGCAGGCGGAAUUUCUAGUGUAGCGGUGAAAUGCGUAGAUAUUAGGAGGAACACCAGGGGCGAAGGCGGCCUGCUGGACUGUAACUGACGUUGAGGCUCGGAAGCGUGGGGAGCAAAAAGGAUUAG